AAUCAACGCUGGCGGCGCGCCUAACACAUGCAAGUCGAACGAGAAAGUGGAGCAAUCCAUGAGUAAAGUGGCGUACGGGUGAGUAACACGUGGAUAACCUGCCCUUUAGUGGGGAAUACCGCUGGGAAACCGGCGACAAUACCGCAUAAGCUCGAGAGAGGAAAGCAGCAAUGCGCUGAAGGAGGGGUCCGCGGCCGAUUAGCUAGUUGGUAGGGUAAAAGCCUACCAAGGCNGUGAUCGGUAGCCGGCCUGAGAGGGCACACGGCCACACUGGCACUGAAACACGGGCCAGACUCCUACGGGAGGCAGCAGUGGGGAAUUGUUCGCAAUGGGCGCAAGCCUGACGACGCAACGCCGCGUGGAGGAUGAAGGUCUUCGGAUUGUAAACUCCUGUUGCUCGGGACGAAAAGCUUCGACCUAAUACGUUGAAGUCUGACGGUACCGAGUGAGGAAGCCCGGCUAACUCUGUGCCAGCAGCCG
rnacentral:rRNA from 1 species